GUAAAGCUGUGAAAGAGAUGGGCAAUUAUUUCAAAUGCAAUAAUUGUGUUGUAUUAUAAACCAUUAAUAAGAUAAUGGCGUAGACUGUAGCUGAGAGCAGCCGAUAAGAUAAUGGCGUAGACUGUAGCUGAGAGCAGCCGGCUACAUGGGGUUCAGCUCUUGUUUCCAUAAUAUAUAAUCUGGAAUUGCACUACAGCUAUUUAAGCCCCAUUCAGCUCUUAUGCAACCACCUAGCUCCCCCACCCCAAACCUUUAAGUUAAAUAUGCAUUUGACUGUGGAUGGGGAGACUAAAUUUCAAAAUAUUGAAAGCUUUUCUUCAGCUAUUUCUUCACAACAUAUCUUUCCAGUUCUUCUGCCUUCCUGCCAUCUCCUAAAUAAUUAAAGCCCUGUUCUUUACCGUAUGAUACACAGAACCAUUGCCUCAGUAUCCAACUCAUGACUUUCUUCAUCCGGUUUCCUGAAGAAAAAGUAGAAGAACUGCUGCAUAACCAUCUCCACCCUCUCUCAGCAGUCGAUAACAACACGUACGGUGAGGACAUUAGAGAGAUUUAUAUGGUGAAGAUGAGCUGAAGUCGACUAUAGGGAGAAAAGGAAGAUGGGGGGGUGACAGGUGGAAAGAUUGUAGUCGUCACCGCCCCAUGUUCAAGCAGAAAAAGAAAGACCAACGACGACGAUGACUGCUGAGGAAAAAGUAGGAUAAGAUUUUUGUGAUGCGGGAUUGGCCACCUUUCUGUUUUCUUCUCCAUUCCUGUCGUCAACUUGCAUGUAUGCCCAGUGACUUAAUUUUGACUGCAAUACUCACAUACAUGGAUCUAACAUAGGUACAUCAAAGUCAAAUGUUGCCAAUUUAUGCUGAUCCUAGCCAGCACCAAGGUUAAUCAUUCGUACAUGCAUGGUAGUUUUUUGUUUUGUUUCUGUUGGUAAAUUUCAGUUUGCACCCCUCUCUCUUUGGCGGUUUCUUUUGACAUUUAAGGUGAUUCUAUGAAUCUAUUGACUAAUUGUAUGUGCGCGGGCGCGCGGUAGUUUCUACAUAAAUAGCAUCACGGCCACUUUUUCAGUGGAGAUUUUGAUUUGGAUAUAUAUAUAUAUAUAUAUAUAUAUAUAUAUCGUGAAAUAUUUCUUAUUAUAUAGUUUGGAAAACCUUAAUUAAUAUUUACGUUGGCAUUCAUGCUUAUAAGAUUAGCCACGAUUGAUAAAAGUUUGGAAUUAAAACUCGAAUAAAACUAGGAUAUAUUAAAGGCGCCCAAGUUGCAGCAGAAAAAUCAGCAGUCACAAGAUGAAAGAGUACACAGCACACACCAGAACAACCGGAAAGAAACUUAGACAGUAACUACAUUUCCUUCUAUAGCCAAGCAACAAAGUCAGAUUCCCUCCCAACCUCUCGCUUAGCUAACACAUCAGCAGCAGUGCCAUUAGCUUCAUGUAAAACAUGGACAAACCGAAGAUUAAUUAGGAAAGAGAUUAGAACUAGUGAAAAACUCAUCAGCAUGUUUUCCAUGGCUUAAUUUGUAGAAGAACUGUCGAGCCAUCCCACAACAAUUAUUGGAGAAUCAGAUUCCACAAUAAAAUUCUGGGCACAAGUUACAGCUUCGUCAGCUGAUUUCCGAUUGACACCAAUUCAGCUUGAUUCGAAUCCAUUUCUCCCAAUCCAGCAGAAAAUGUUAGAAAUGCACAUUAACUGGACAUGCACAACUCAACUAAUUAUUCCCUUAACGUCAGACAACAUAUUCUUUUGACCAAAUCAGCUGAGAGUAGUCAGGAUAGGGAGAAGAAGAGAACAGAACAACUGUCAUGCAUCAAUGGAGUGAAAAUUCAUAUAUAUGUCGAUCGUGUUAGGUUAGGGAUUUCUAGGAUGUUAGAGUCACUAAAACGCCCAUCAAUUGAAGUGGACUGAAGAAUAAUUAGAAGAUGAUAGAUAUGCAUAUCAAAAUCCCACCAUGACUUUGUCCUAAAAAGCAUUAGCUAGGGUUUUACCAUAAAGAGCCAAUAACAAUUCAUGUUAUUAAUCUAGGAUUUCUCCUCUUCGUUGAAAAUACACGUAGAUUCGUAUAUCUAUGAACAAGAUUAUCUUUACUGACAAAUGACUCCUCAAGCUUACUGAAAAAUGAAAAUUUUGCUUAUAAUUAAUAAGCUAUGAAAUUAAAGAGAGGAAAAUUAAAAAGUAUCAUGAAUAAGUAACUGUCUUCUAGCAUCAUUUCUGUUUUCAUUUUUUCUUGUUUUAAAAAUGUAAAAAACUAACAACCAGUUGUCAAACAGGGAGCUCUCUUGAAAGUUAUAAUUGUAAUUGUUAGUUUAUUUUUAUAAUAAAAAAAUCCUAAAAAAUAUAUAUUUUUUAUUUUCAUAUCUAAAAAACUGAAAAGCAAAAAUAGUAAAUAUAUAGAAACAGUAAACAAUACCAAAAUGACCUAAAUUUCAUUGAGGUGAGAUUUGUUAGUUCACUAGCUAUUUUCGAUAUCAAUUUAGAUAGCGAUUGUUUAUUAUGUUGUGAUAAAAGCGAUAGAGACAAUAAAGAUAAAAAUAAUAUAUCUUCAUGUAUUUUUUAUUUUUAAAGAAUAAAAAUUAGCUUUAAAAUUAUCCCAAAUUAUAUAUUUUUUUAUAUCUUUGUUUUUAUCUCUUUAAUUAUAUAUAUAUUUUUUUUUUUGGUGUAACAUUAAUCGAAAGCAACACUAAGUUAGGUUUUCUUUCGUAGAGGUGAGAAUCAUGUUGUAACUACCCCUCCUUUCCAACAUUAAUGCACGGUAACUGUAAUAUUCCUAGACAAUGCGAACCGGGAUAAAUUAUCGUAAGUUUCAAGUCGGCACACUUUUCUUUGUAGCUGCACACCAAUCUCAUGAAAAAGUGUAGGGGUACAGCCAAUAGGGCACAGUUUUCUCCUAUAAAUAGAGGUGUUGGAGAUCAAUUAUGUCAUAUACAAAAAUCCUUGAAGAAAAAUAACAUACACCAAGGCUCUCUCUCCCCUGUCUCUUCAUCCCUUCCACAGUUUUCUCCAUAAAAAGAUAGGGUUCUCAUGAAUUCCUUGGAAGCCAAAGCUCUGUUCUCAGGCCCCUAGCUCUAUUAUGGAUACGCAUAUUUUUUUUUAAUGUUUGUGUUUUGAAUUAUGUGAGGAGGCACUGGUGAUGUUGUUGACAGAAGAUAGAGAGCACAGAUGAUGAAAUGCAUGGAGCUUAAUUGCAUCUCACUCCUUUGUGCUCUCUAGUCUUCUGUCAUCACCUUCAGCCCCUCACUCCGUUUAAUUGCUAAUAGUCUUACCAUAUAUAUAUGUUUACUCUUGAGCUUGUUUCUUGAGCAUUGAGCAAUAUUAUUACCUUUGCACAUGCUCAUCUCGAGUUUAUGUUUGAUUUCUUUACCGAAUGCUUGUUGGGAAUCUGAAUAAAAUGUUGUGUUAAUUAAUUUGAUUGUUUCUCCCUCUAAUAUCUUUUGCAGGUGGCAUGGUCCUGAUCCUAAUGAUGCUAGAUUUAGUAAAAAUUUCCCCUUCCAUUCUUCCAUGUUGGGAAUUAAGGAGCAGUUAAUUUUGUAGCUUAAACAGCUAAAGGAGAGGACAUUCGUAUUAAACACAAAUUUGAUAUCUUCUUCCCUGAGGACACUAAGAAUCUCUAGACUGCUUAGUUGUGGUCCUAUGGUUCUAUGUUUGCUUCUUAUAAAAAUUAUUGCAGGUGAAUUUUCUGUGCUGGGAACACCAUAUGCUGCUCGAGAUAUAAUCAAGUUCCAAGGCACAUGACACAUGGAGAUUUUAUAAUUCAAGACAUGCAUCACUAGCAUCUUUAUCGGUCAUUUGCUUAAUUUCCAGAAAUCAAGAACUAGCAUAAGUGGUGGUGUCAAUAUCGGAAGAGCACGGAUUGAUAAUCUGAUACCCCUUUUAUCAUCUACUCCACCAUGAUCUGAAGAUUUGGAUAUAGCUUGCAGGUUUCCCUGCAAUGCAGAUCCGAUCUAGAGCUGUAGUAAAUUAAAGAUGCGGCCGGGUCUACAACACUUCGCUGUUUGAUCUCUAUAAUCUCCAUGAGUAUUUGACAUUUUUUUGUUGUUGUUGUUGAUGUUGAUCAUCAUGAUCAAGUUGCAAGCUUCUUCAUUUGAAACCAGGGUUUGGCUAUUUGUCAAGAAUAACAGACUCCAUUCAUGUAUUCAUGCUCUAUGCAUACGCAAUUCAUAGAAUGAUAGUACUGAGCUGAUGAUCAAUAAUCAAGAAAAUGUUCAUCGAGCUGGUUAAUUGUUUUCUAA